UACGUAGGGGGCAAGCGUUGUCCGGAAUCAUUGGGCGUAAAGCGCGCGUAGGCGGCCCUGUAAGUCCGUUGUGAAAGUCAAAGGCUCAACCUUUGAAAGCCGAUGGAUACUGCAGGGCUAGAGUCCGGAAGAGGCGAGUGGAAUUCCUGGUGUAGCGGUGGAAUGCGCAGAUAUCAGGAGGAACACCAAUAGCGAAGGCAGCUCGCUGGGACGGUACUGACGCUGAGACGCGAAAGCGUGGGGAGCGAACAGG
rnacentral:rRNA from 1 species